GAUGCUAAUACCGGAUAACAACACUAGACGCAUGUCUAGAGUUUAAAAGAUGGUUCUGCUAUCACUCUUGGAUGGACCUGCGGUGCAUUAGCUAGUUGGUAAGGUAACGGCUUACCAAGGCAAUGAUGCAUAGCCGAGUUGAGAGACUGAUCGGCCACAUUGGGACUGAGACACGGUCCAAACUCCUACGGGAGGCAGCAGCC
rnacentral:rRNA from 1 species